AAGAGAAAGUAGCUGAAAGGCGUUCUCACCAGACCUGGGACCUGUGCUUCAGGGCUUUGCCUAAGCUUUACACACUGAAAAAUGGCAUUUCUUCGGGAUAUCAAAUGAUUUUUGGAGUAUCUGUGCUCUGUGCUCUGAGCUCUGAGCUUGUUUUUAUGAAGUUGAACGGAAGAAGGAUGCAUGUAGACAAACCACAGCUGAGAGACACCAUGCACCUUGGAACAACUUAUGGCGUAUAGCAGGUUCCUGCUGCUGCUGAUAGGAGUGAUUUCCUACCAUCUACCUGAGGUCCAGGCAGAGUACAAUCACUUUUGGUGCAUACCAAAAUUCAGGAUAAAUAAUGAAAACAAAAUUGAGGACCUGCAGAAAACAAUGGUGGGCUGUGUGGGUUCAGACACUCUCCCCUCUCCCUCUUUUGUACAGCUCUGUGUUGAGAUAAACAUAACAGAAUGGAAUCGUAAAACUGUGAGUAAUAAAUGACUGACUUCCCUGAUCCUGUCUGCAUGUGCGCUUAGCUUGGCUGGCUUCAUAGCUUCAUUUGCAAGUACCUGUU